rnacentral:rRNA from 1 species
CCUAUAUGAUGGUUCGCCGUCGUGUAGCUAGUGAUGUCAUACUUCCAAGAAAAGCUCAUACAUCUUUAUAAUUUAAUUACCUGUACCUGAAACCGACACAGGUAGGUUGGUAGAGAAUACUAAGGGGCGCGAGAGAACUCUCUCUAAGGAACUCGGCAAACUGGCCCCGUAACUUCGGAAGAAGGGGCGCCCAAAAUUCAUUUUUUGGGUCGCAGUGACCAGGCCCAGGCGACUGUUUACCAAAAACACAGGUCUCCGCAAAGUCGUAAGACAAUAUAUGGGGGCUGACGCCUGCCCAGUGCCGGAAGGUUAAGGAAGUUGGUUAUUUCGUAAGAAAAAAGCUGACGACCGAAGCCCCGGUGAACGGCGGUCGUAACGAUAACGAUCCUAAGGUAGCGAAAUUCAUUGUCGAGUAAGUUUCGACCUGCACGAAAGGCGUAACGAUCUGGGCGCUGUCUCGGAGAGAGGCUCGGUGAAAUAGACUUGUCCCGUGAAGAUGCGGACUACCUAUACCUGGACAGAAAGACCCUAUGAAGCUUGACUGUAUCUUGGAAUUGGGUUUGGGCUUUUCUUGCGCAGCCUAGGUGGGAGGCUAUGAAGAUUACCUUCCGGGGUAAUCAGAGCCGUCAUUGAGAGACCACUCUGGAAGAGCUAGAAUCCUAAUGGGGAUCCUUGAAUCAGGACCCUUGACAGUUUCAGGUGGGCAGUUUAUUUGGGGCGAAUGCCUCCUAAAAGGUAACGGAGGCGUGCAAAGGUUCCCUCAGUCUGGACGGAAAUCAGACAUUGAGUGUAAAGGCAAAAGGGAGCUUGACUGCAAGACCUACAAGUCGAGCAGGGGCGAAAGCCGGCCUUAGUGAUCCGACGGUGCCGUGUGGAAGGGCCGUCGCUCAACGGAUAAAAGUUACUCUAGGAUAACAGGCUGAUCUUCCCCAAGAGUUCACAUCGACGGGAAGGUUUGGCACCUCGAUGUCGGCUCAUCACAUCCUCGGUCUGUAGUAGGUCCGAAGGGUUGGGCUGUUCGCCCAUUAAAGUGGUACGUGAGCUGGGUUCAAAACGUCGUGAGACAGUUUGGUCCAUAUCCGGUAUAGGCGCUAGAGCAUUGAGAGUAGCCUUUCAUAGUACGAGAGGACCUGAAAGGACAUGCCAAUUGUGUACCAGUUCUCAUUCCAAUGGGAAACGCUGGGUAGCUACGCAUGGAUAGAUAACUGCUGAAAGCAUCUAAGUAGGAAGCUAAACUCAAGAUGAGUGCUCUCUAAGGCCGCGGCUAGACAAGCCGUUAUAUAGGUAUCAGGUGUACAGUCAGCAAUGGCUUCAGCCGAGAUAUACUAAAGGCCGU